GGCCCGUUAGCUCAGUCGGUUAGAGUGUGGUGCUGAGCACACCAAGGUCACGAGUUCGAUCCCCAUUCAGUCCC
rnacentral:tRNA from 1 species